AACGAUUAAGCAUACGGUUUGCUUUAUCCUGAAAAGAUAAAAGCUUUUGGUUCGACUUCAGAAAUCAUUA
rnacentral:tRNA from 1 species